GUAACACGUGAAUAACCUACCGAAAAGCAGGGGAUAACAUUUGGAAACAGAUGCUAAUACCGUAUAAAACGUGCUGUCGCAUGACAAAACGUUAAAAGGUCCGUUUGGACCACUUUUUGAUGGAUUCGCGGUGCAUUAGUUAGUUGGUGGGGUAAAGGCUCACCAAGACGAUGAUGCAUAGCCGAGUUGAGAGACUGACCGGCCACAUUGGGACUGAGACACGGCCCAAACUCCUACGGGAGGCUGCAGUAGGGAAUCUUCCACAAUGGGCGCAAGCCUGAUGGAGCAACGCCGCGUGUGUGAUGAAGGCUUUCGGGUCGUAAAGCACUGUUGUAUGGGAAGAACGGUAAGGGUAGGAAAUGAUCUUUACAUGACGGUACCAUACCAGAAAGGGACGGCUAAAUACGUGCCAGCAGCCGCGGUAAUACGUAUGUCCCGAGCGUUAUCCGGAUUUAUUGGGCGUAAAGCGAGCGCAGACGGUUUGAUAAGUCUGAAGUGAAAGCCCACAGCUCAACUGUGGAAGUGCUUUGGAAACUGUCAAACUUGAGUGCAGUAG
rnacentral:rRNA from 1 species